UACGUAGGGUGCGAGCGUUAAUCGGAAUUACUGGGCGUAAAGCGUGCGCAGGCGGCUUUGUAAGCCAGAUGUGAAAUCCCCGGGCUUAACCUGGGAAUGGCAUUUGGGACUGCAAGGCUGGAGUGUGGCAGAGGAGACUGGAAUUCCCGGUGUAGCAGUGAAAUGCGUAGAUAUCGGGAGGAAUACCGAUGGCGAAGGCAGGUCUCUGGGCUGACACUGACGCUCAUGCACGAAAGCGUGGGGAGCAAACAGG
rnacentral:rRNA from 1 species